rnacentral:lncRNA from 1 species
CAUACCAGAAAAAAAUAGUUUUUGACUAUACAUGGAAUUAAACUACCUUGGUUGUUGCCUUGAAGCAGAUCCGGCCCAAGGUAAUGUUGAAGUGUAGGCGAAACAGAAUUUUGGUCCCCCCCCCCCCCAAACCAAUCACCAAAAAAGAAAAGGUAGAAGAUAGAGGUGAAUAGAAUGGAUAACAGUUUUCCUUUCAAACCCGAAGUUUAUUUACAACAUUAUGUUCAUAUAGUAUCAUUAAAUAGAAUUAAUGCCAAACUGGCAUCCUAGAAUGCAACUAUUUUUUAUUAAACUAAGCAACAAUUUUUUUUUGUUUUUUUAGUCUACAAGAACUACACAGCUAGGCCUUCCCAGUUGCCGCAGCUGCUCUGUCUGCAGACACCACCUUUUCUCCUAGGAGACCGGGACUCCAACCUACUUAGACAUGAUUCCCCAUGAAGCUCUAGAAGCAGAAGUCACCGUAGAGGUUGGAACUGAGGAUCAGCAAGCAUCACCAGGCCAAACUUUCGUGAUUUCCAUGGUUUUUAAGUCAGGACACCAACCUCAAUGGAUCAUCAACGACAAGCUCUAGAUAAUUACUUCGUUGCGGUUUAGUGUGUUUAGAUGCUGACAAUAAAUAACU